UAAAGGAAAAAAGAAACUGAAAAUAGAAAGGGAACUUAUGAAGAAGAGAACAGACAAACAACAUUGCUUAGAUGAUAGAAAAGGAAUAUAGUUGUAUCAUAUUUAUUGAUCUACUUAGAUUCAAUUAUAUAAGUUGUAUCAUUCAUAUAUUCACGUAGUUGACAAACAAUAUCGGUUUCUCUUUUGAGGGGCUCUCGUUGAUGGGUUCUGCUUAGCUUAUCUCCUGUGUCUGUUCCCAUUUGUUAAAAAAGUAUCAUGAUGGGAAAUAGUAUUAAAGAUGAUGAUGAUGAUUCGUUCACUCAGCCCCUUGGAAGACGGUCUGUCAUUUAUUAUGGCAUGGGUCACAUGCUCAAUGAUAUCACUGCUGCCUGUUGGUUCACUUACCUCUUAUUGUUCUUGACAGAUAUUGGACUUUCUCCAAGGGAUGCUGCUAUGGUUAUGCUUUCAGGUCAAGUAACUGAUGGAUUUACAACCAUAUUGGCUGGUGAACUGGUACAUAUUUAUAU